rnacentral:misc_RNA from 1 species
ACUACGAAUUAUCCUAAUCCUGUUUGCUCCCCACGCUUUCGUGCAUGAGCGUCAAUUGAUGUCCCGGAGGCUGCCUUCGCCAUCAGUGUUCCUCCGCAUAUCUACACCAUUUCUGCUACGCGGAAUUCCACCUCCCUCUGACACACUCUAGCUCGGUAGUUAAAAAUGCAGUUCCAAAAGUUAAGCUCUGGGAUUUCACUCUUUCUUUCCGAACCGCCUGCGCACGCUUUUACCCAGUAAUUCCGAUUAACGCGCUUGCACCUACAUCUUGCCGCGGCUGCUGGCACGUAGUUAGCCGGUGCUUAUUCUGGGUACCGUCAGUUACGGGUAUUAUCAUCGUCUUGAUUCCGCCUGCCAAAAAGAAUUGCUUUACAACCCGAGAGCCUUCAUCGCACACGCGGGGUUAAACGCGGAUCAGUUCCCCAUUGUCCAAAAUUCCCCACUGCUGCCCCCGUAGCAG